AUUGAACGCUGGCGGCAUGCCUUACACAUGCAAGUCGAACGGUAACAGGUCUUCGGAUGCUGACGAGUGGCGAACGGGUGAGUAAUACAUCGGAACGUGCCUAGUAGUGGGGGAUAACUACUCGAAAGAGUGGCUAAUACCGCAUGAGAUCUACUGAUGAAAGCAGGGGAUCGCAAGACCUUGUGCUACUAGAGCGGCCGAUGGCAGAUUAGGUAGGUGGUGGGAUAAAAGCUUACCAAGCCGACGAUCUGUAGCUGGUCUGAGAGGACGAUCAGCCACACUGGGACUGAGAAACGGCCCAGACUCCUACGGGAGGCAGCAGUGGGGAAUUUUGGACAAUGGGCGCAAGCCUGAUCCAGCUAUGCCGCGUGCAGGAUGAAGGCCUUCGGGUUGUAAACUGCUUUUGUACGGAACGAAAAGCCCCGGGUUAAUACCCUGGGGUCACGACGGUACCGUAAGAAUAAGCACCGGCUAACUACGUGCCAGCCGCCGCGGUAA
rnacentral:rRNA from 1 species